GAACGCUGGCGGCAUGCCUUACACAUGCAAGUCGAACGGCAGCAUGAUCUAGCUUGCUAGAUUGAUGGCGAGUGGCGAACGGGUGAGUAAUACAUCGGAACGUGCCCUGUAUGGGGGAUAACUAGUCGAAAGAUUAGCUAAUACCGCAUACGACCUGAGGGUGAAAGUGGGGGACCGCAAGGCCUCAUGCUAUAGGAGCGGCCGAUGUCUGAUUAGCUAGUUGGUGAGGUAAAGGCUCACCAAGGCGACGAUCAGUAGCUGGUCUGAGAGGACGAUCAGCCACACUGGGACUGAGACACGGCCCAGACUCCUACGGGAGGCAGCAGUGGGGAAUUUUGGACAAUAGGGGCAACCCUGAUCCAGCAAUGCCGCGUGUGUGAAGAAGGCCUUCGGGUUGUAAAGCACUUUUGUCCGGAAAGAAAUCGCACUUACUAAUAUUAGGUGUGGAUGACGGUACCGGAAGAAUAAGGACCGGCUAACUACGUG
rnacentral:rRNA from 1 species